GGAAGGGACCGUACCCCGUCCCUCUGCAUCACGGGCCUUCCAGAGCCAGACCAAGAGCUGGAGAGAACAGCACAGGUCCCUGCAAGGACGUGGCCACACCACAGACAUGUUCCCCCAGGACGGGCAGGGCCUCUGCUCCCAAAUCCAUCACCGCAGCACCCCGUGAGCCGCCAGCAGCACCCCGAGUGUCCCCGCUGGCUGCGGGGAAGGAACCACUCUCCCUCCACCACCGCUGCUCCUUUUACCAGCCUGGACCCUUCAGGUUUGUGCCUGAUGCCUCACCAGGAAAAUAUGUGCAGGAGUGCGGGACGGGUGGAUGCUGCACCAGGGAGGCACCGCCGCUGCUGCCGUUUGUGGCCCUUUGCCCAGAGAAGCUUAUGGAAGAUACCGACGGC